AACGAACGCUGGCGGCAUGCCUAACACAUGCAAGUCGAACGAGACCUCCGGGUCUAGCUGCGCACGGGUGGGUAACGCGUGGGAAGUUGCCCGUGGGUUAGCAACAAUUCCCUGAAGGGGGUGCCAAUGCCGGAGAAUGUCUUCGGGCCAAAGAUUAGUCGUCUUUGGAUGGGCCCGCGUUGGAUUAGCUAGUUGGUAGGGUAAAAGCCUACCAAGGCGACGAUCCAUAGCUGGUCUGAGAGGAUGAUCAGCCACACUGAGACUGAGACACGGCCCAGACUCCUACGGGAGGCAGCGAUGGGUAAUAUUGGACAGUGGGCGAGAGCCUGAUCCGGCGAUGCCGCGUUGGUGAUCUAGGCCUUGUGGUUGUCAAGCUCUUUUAACCGGGAUGUUAGUGACGGUACCGGGAGAAUAAGCUCCGGCUAACUCCGUG
rnacentral:rRNA from 1 species